rnacentral:other from 1 species
AGGCCUAAAACUUCCGGCGUUGAAGUGCUCUUCAACACCAAAAAUUUUAGACCCCGAUUUUAGUUGUCCUAGUCUUGACAUUUUGAUACACUAACGAAGUACUUCCGCUCGCAUUUGAGCGAAGGGCAAUUCAUGCGCGUUUGCGCUAGGAGGAUUUUUAAAAUGGAACAAGGUACAGUUAAAUGGUUUAACGCAGAAAAAGGCUACGGCUUCAUCACUCGCCAAGACGGCUCCGAUGUUUUCGUUCACUUCUCUGCUAUCCAAGGCGACGGCUACAAGACUUUAGAAGAAGGCCAAGCAGUGUCCUUCGAAGUUGAACAAGGCGACCGCGGUGCCCAAGCCGUUAACGUCAACAAGCUGUAAUUCAAUCAAAAUGCCUUGCCGAUUUCGUCGGUGAGGCAUUUUUA